UACGUAGGGCGCAAGCGUUAUCCGGAAUUAUUGGGCGUAAAGAGCUCGUAGGCGGUUUGUCGCGUCUGCCGUGAAAGUCCGGGGCUCAACUCCGGAUCUGCGGUGGGUACGGGCAGACUAGAGUGCGGUAGGGGAGAUUGGAAUUCCUGGUGUAGCGGUGGAAUGCGCAGAUAUCAGGAGGAACACCGGAUGGCGAAGGCAGAUCUCUGGGCCGUAACUGACGCUGAGGAGCGAAAGCAUGGGGAGCGAACAGG
rnacentral:rRNA from 1 species